rnacentral:rRNA from 1 species
UGGUGCAUGGUUGUCGUCAGCUCGUGUCGUGAGAUGUUGGGUUAAGUCCCGCAACGAGCGCAACCCUUAAGCUUAGUUGCCAGCAUUAAGUUGGGCACUCUAAGUUGACUGCCGGUGACAAACCGGAGGAAGGUGGGGAUGACGUCAAAUCAUCAUGCCCCUUAUGAUUUGGGCUACACACGUGCUACAAUGGACAAUACAAAGGGCAGCUAAACCGCGAGGUCAUGCAAAUCCCAUAAAGUUGUUCUCAGUUCGGAUUGUAGUCUGCAACUCGACUACAUGAAGCUGGAAUCGCUAGUAAUCGUAGAUCAGCAUGCUACGGUGAAUACGUUCCCGGGUCUUGUACACACCGCCCGUCACACCACGAGAGUUUGUAACACCCGAAGCCGGUGGAGUAACCAUUUAUGGAGCUAGCCGUCGAAGGUGGGACAAAUGAUUGGGGUGAAGUCGUAACAAGGUAGCCGUAUCGGAAGGUGCGGCUGGAUCACCUC